rnacentral:rRNA from 1 species
UGGCGGACGGGUGAGUAACGCGUAAAGAACUUGCCCUUUAGACUGGGAUAACAGAGGGAAACUUCUGAUAAUACUGGAUAAGUUAGUAUAUCGCAUGAUAUGCAAAUGAAAGCUACGACACUAAAGGAGAGCUUUGCGUCCUAUUAGCUAGUUGGUAAGGUAAGAGCUUACCAAGGCGAUGAUAGGUAGCCGGCCUGAGAGGGUGGACGGCCACAAGGGGACUGAGAUACGGCCCUUACUCCUACGGGAGGCAGCAGUG